GUGAAUCAUCAAAUUUUUGAACGCAAAUUGCACUUUCUGGUAUUCCGGAAAGUAUGCCUGUUUGAGGGUCAGUUAAAUCAAAAUCGGCGUUGUUGCUGUUUUUCGUGGUGACGCGUCGGAAUUGAGUUGUCUUAUAUUCCGUUAAGUGACUUAAAAUUUUGUAUGAUUUUCGAACGUAUUUAAAUUCUUUACGUAAGAUUGAGAUAUCGAAUA
rnacentral:misc_RNA from 1 species